rnacentral:rRNA from 1 species
AAUUUUGGACAAUGGGGGAAACCCUGAUGCAGCGACGCCGCGUGGGCGAAGAAGGCCUUCGGGUCGUCCAGCCCUUUUCUGGGUGCCGAGGAAGGACGGUAGCCCAGGAAGAAGUCUCGGCUAACUACGUGCCAGCAGCCGCGGUAAAACGUAGGAGGCAAGCGUUAUCCGGAGUUACUGGGCGUAAAGCGCGCGCAGGCGGUUAGGCAAGUUGGGUGUGAAAGCUCCCGGCUAAACCGGGAGAGUGCAUUCAAGACUGCCUGGCUAGAGGACGGUAGAGGGGCGCAGAAUUCGGGGUGUAGCGGUGAAAUGUGUAGAGAUCCCGAGGAAUACCAGUGGGGAAGCCGGCGCCCUGGGCCGAACCUGACGCUCAGACACGAAAGCGUGGGGAGCAAACAGG